UGUCACAUUUCAUUUCUUUUCUCUAUUAAAUACACCUUCUUCUCCCCAAAUUCUAAAAAGAGUUGUUGAGGCCGUUUUUGUACUCUCUCUAAUGAAAUCAACUCAAAAGGUGACAUCCUUCGAAGGAGGCUGUUGUGGAUCUUCAAGAGAAUUUUAGGAGGUUAUAUACUAAGCCUUAUCAUUCUUGGCGGGAGAUUAUAAAUAGUAUCCGUCAGGCGAUGUUUAAUUAAUUCAAGAUUUUAUGUACGCGGUAGCCAAGGUACAAUAUGAUCAUUGCGACCACUUUUGAAAAAAAAGCGAGCAUCAAAUUGUCUAGAAGGAAAGCUAGGGAUGAUCAGACACAUUUGAGUUGGAUGGUGCCUCAUAUAUUUGAAGAAUUAUAUCGGUAUUGGGAUACCGAAGAAUUCAAGUCUUUGUACGAACAAGGAAAAAAAGCAAGAGUCAGCCUAAAGGGUGGCUCAUUGCACAAAACGGAGGUGAAAAGAGUGUUGGUACGAUUCAGAGGGAGAUGAUAGGUUUCUAAAUUUUAAGUUUAAAUUAAUUUUCUUAAAUAAAUUAUUUGACAAAAUAUUAUUUCACUAAUUGUAUUUUUAUUUAUAGGAAAAAGAAUUGGAAUGCACUCCCAAUUGUCAUGAAAUCUUUAAAAAGACUUAUGUAAAUGAAAAGACUAAUGCGUCGGAUCCGAAUGACAAGAUUAUGAGCGGCACAUACGUGAUAUAAGAGAUUCAAUCUAGCUAACACUUGAACAGUCCACUCAAAUUUGGACAGAAAAAAUGGUUGGAGACAGCCACAAGGGACGAAUAUAUGGAAUGGGCUCUAGGAAUAAUGUACGAUGACUCCAAUCAGGUUUAGAAGAUAUUAAAUCAUCGUGUCAAACUGAGGUUGUUGACGGGGUUCAAAUAUCUUCUAUGUCUCAGUAAAUUGCAGAACUUCCACGCGCAUUGAUAGAAUCUGAGAAAAGAAGGGUUGAGGAGCAAAAAAAUAUGAAUGAACAAGUUGAGAAAAUUAAAGAACAAGUGUUCAACCUCGCCCGUCAACCUCUGCCCCAUUAUUCAAGAGGGUCCACUCCGAAUGAAUCCGACAAUAGUGAUGAAUACAUUGCAAAUACUCCUUAGGUUCUCUAUGUUAGUUUAUGAACAUUUUGAAAUUUUUUGUUAACU